rnacentral:lncRNA from 12 species
CUUUGUCUAACACCUCAUAGGUGGCUAGGCUGAGGGUUACAGUAACACGAUCGUGCAGCUGUUCAAGUUCUUGGAAGUACUGAACCUGGGAAUGACUGUGCAUUUUUAUUCUUUUAUCUUUAUGAGGUGUUUGAGUUGUGUGUUGUCUUGGAGAAUUUUGCACAACAAGCUUUCACUGAGAUAUUGGUAGAAGGAUCUCGUCUGUAAUAAGAACAUUCAUUCCAGGAGAAUAGGUCUGGGCUGAUGUGGUGAUGUGGAUAGAUCCACCUGCAUACCUGCCGUCAUGUUCAGAGCAGCAGGAGAGAGACAACGGAGGGGAGGAGUCGUGUGAACAUCUACUGAAGGCUUCCUGAGAUCACAGAGGCAUGGGUUAAGACAGCAGAGUCACAAGCUGGAAGAAGAAUGGAUCUUGAACCACCACAUGGAUGAGAUCCGCUCUGGAGAUCAUGCAACCUGUAUCAGGUGUGCCCCAGUCAUUAGCAACAGUAGAUGCUUGGUGAAGACUGCUGGCCUGGCCCCACUCAGGAUGAAUAUGCGAGGGGAAUGCUUAGGAAAUAUAAGUGUCUUCCUUAAAAACCUCUGCCAGAUGGCACCACGAAGGAGAACCCCUCCAAAGACAAUAAAUAAAUGCCACGAGAGAACACUUGGGGGCCGGAGCAGCAGCGGGCUCUAG